rnacentral:rRNA from 1 species
AGCGAACGCUGGCGGCAGGCCUAACACAUGCAAGUCGAACGAACCUUUCGGGGUUAGUGGCGGACGGGUGAGUAACACGUGGGAACGUGCCUUUAGGUUCGGAAUAACUCAGGGAAACUUGUGCUAAUACCGAAUGUGCCCUUCGGGGGAAAGAUUAAUCGCCUUUAGAGCGGCCCGCGUCUGAUUAGCUAGUUGGUUGAGGUAAUGGCUCACCAAGGCGACGAUCAGUAGCUGGUCUGAGAGGAUGAUCAGCCACAUUGGGACUGAGACACGGCCCAAACUCCUAGGGGGGGCAGAAGUGGGGAAUCUUGCGCAAUGGGCGAAAGCCUGAAGCAGCAAUGCCGCGUGAAUUAUGAAGGUAUUGGGUUGGUAAAAUUUUUUCACCGGGGACGAUAAGGGCGGUACCCGGGGAAGAAGCCCCGGCUAACUUCGG